GUAUCCCCUUCAGCGGCACAUAUACUAAAAAUUGGAUGAUAUAGAUUAGCAUGGCGCCUACGCAAAGAUUACAUGCAAAUUUGUGCGUUCCGUAUUUUG
rnacentral:snRNA from 1 species